AACUGCUAACACAUUCUGAUCUUUUCCUAGCACUUCUUCAAAAAGGAAAACCAGCAAAAAAAUCUCUUGUCGGAGUUGUCUUAACAAGUACCUCACUUGCUGUUGAACAUUUCAAUAAAAAGAGCUUUUUGUACUGGAGUCAAAGGCUAUUUUGGAGAUAGUGUUCUCAUUUUUAGACAUAACAUGUAGUAAAGCAAGAUUUCACGAUCAAGCAUUGAUGGAGCGGAUUCUGAUCCCUUCUGAUGAGCAAGGAGAGGAAAGCACUUCACUCCUCUUUCUGCAGGUGUGCCCUGGAACAGUGAGCUGCAGCACAACUCAGAACUCUUCCUGGGGGUCAGGAUCCUGCCCAGCACCAGAGUAUGAAGGCAGUGUGCAAGGAAAGGGCCCACAGAGACUGCUGAAGUGUGUGAAGAGGAAAAAUAACACAAUGAGGAAAAAAUACGAAAAAGCAACUAGUGCCAUGAAUAAUCCUGAAAUAUGAAUAAAUAUAUGUAUUUGGACAAAGUGAGAACUGCUUAAUAUAAAACCCUCAACAGGAAAGCAGAGCUUAAAGCAGACUUAAGGGCAGCAAUAGAUGAUGAGUAGUUUUACACAGGAGUGAUCUGCAUUCGUGACGGGUUGGAUGAUGUGGAGCAGAGCAAGCCAGGACAGCUCAUGUGCUGUGGAAAACUGAACUGGGUUAUGUGGAAUGGCACUGGAUGGUACUGGUAAGGAUAAACAUGCGGUUCAACCAAGGCCUUUCCCUGUAGUGCCCCACAGCACGGUGUGGUGAUUACCCUUCGUGCACGGCCUGGUGGUAUUUAAUAUUGUGGUGGUGGUGCUCCUCUCUCGGCCGCCUCUCCCCAGUGAGCCCAGGGGUGUUCUGCAUGGAACAAAUCCUCUGUUAGUGCUGGAAAUAGAUUUGCUUUGUGCUCUUUUCUCUUGGAAGUGAGAGUAGGAUGUGACCCGUGAAAACUCUGAAGAUGUUUCUGAGUCACCAUGAGGAAAAUGAGGAUUAGUGUUGGGCUGCAAGGGGAAGGGAGCAGCUGGGUGAGGAGUACAUCAUGCUCUCUGUCCUGUGAGACUGGCCUUCAGUGUAAGGGAAAGGAAUAGAGAAAGAAAGCAAAUCUACUGGAAAAAGAGGGAAGAAAAUAGUGCAGGCUACGAUUACUAGGAGCAGCUGAGCUGUGGUGCUCAGGGCAGCAGGCGGUGAGUCAGGGCUGCAUGCUGGAGAAGGGCUGCUGUUCAAGUCAGUCACGUGCUGUCUGCCACACCUGUGGUAUUCGAAGAGGUGGUGCACCUGGCCCUGGAUAGCUUUGGAUUGGCUCUUUAAUGUUUUAUUUAAACUUGAAGGAAGGAGAGUAGUGGGGUAACCAACGGAUAAGUUGGAAGAGCAGGCCUCUGAGUCUGUAGGGGUAUGGUAAGGUACAAGAGCUACCUUUCUUCUGCUUCCCUCAGAGAAGAGCUGUGUUUUAUUGAAUGAAGGUUCUGGACAAGAAGAU
rnacentral:lncRNA from 1 species